rnacentral:rRNA from 1 species
GAAUUUUCCGCAAUGGGCGAAAGCCUGACGGAGCAAUACCGCGUGAGGGAGGAAGGCUCUUGGGUUGUAAACCUCUUUUAUUCGGGAAGAAGAUCUGACGGUACCGAAUGAAUCAGCAUCGGCUAACUCCGUGCCAGCAGCCGCGGUAAUACGGAGGAUGCAAGCGUUAUCCGGAUUUAUUGGGCGUAAAGCGUCCGCAGGUGGCUUGUCAAGUCUGCUGUCAAAGCGCGGAGCUUAACUCCGUAAAGGCAGUGGAAACUGACAGGCUAGAGUCUGGUAGGGGUUGCGGGAAUUCCCAGUGUAGCGGUGAAAUGCGUAGAUAUUGGGAAGAACACCGGCGGCGAAAGCGCGCAACUGGACCGGAACUGACACUCAUGGACGAAAGCUAGGGGAGCGAAAGGG